GGAGCGCGCGUGUGCGGGGCGGCGCGGGGCGCAGCCAACGGCGGCGGGAGCGCUCCCGGCGGGCGGGCGGGGGCCGAGCCAGAAAGGAGGCCCGGAGGAAUCCUGCGGGGCUGUGCUCCUUUUACACCCAUGUGAGCUGCUGUCUCCGCUGCUGUGUCCAAACCCGGAGGACGAACUGGAAAAGAAGAGAGGGGGAGGAAAUAAUAAAAAGAGGAAAUUGGUUUUCACAACACACUCAAAGCCUGAGUAACAGAGGAGAACUUUAAUUAUCUCCAGUCACAAAGAGAGACAGGAAAUUUGGACUUUUAAUUAGCCAUUUGGAGUGCAGUUGGAUAUUUUUUUAGCUAGAUAAUUUAAACGCGAAUAAUUCAAGUCUGACUAAAUGAAAGUCACAUAAUCAGAAUGCAGAUAAUUGAAUUUCUCCUGCAUCCAUUAAUUCGGCGUGGAGGUGUGUGUGAAGACUCCGAUGAUGAGCUGUCACAAUUCAAUAAAAUCUCAGUCAAUUAAUUUUUUCAUUAUCUGAGGAUUGCAUCAACAAAGAAGAAGGCAAGUGUGCGUCGACACCCCUGCACAUGCCUGUGCGUGCUGCGUGUUCUGUAAAUGCGUGGGGUGUCAUGUGGGAAUGCGAGGAAGUACCUUUCUGAGCCAUACUCUGUGCUGUUUUCUUGUUCUCCGUCUUCAUUUUCCUCGGGGAAGCGUCUGUACAUCAGGGCGAACUUGUGGAUGGCCUCCUCCACGGUGUACUUGGUCUGCCCCGAAACGCACGCCUCGAUGUCCUCAGCGUUCAGGUGGCUCUGCAGGAAGAGGUGCAGGCUGCUGUCGGACAGCAGGAGCGCGUUGUGGAGGACCCUGUGUCAGAGGAAAGGGAGAGGUCACCAGCGCACGGGCCUGCACCGCCACAGGGCAGGAGAGAGAGCGACGCAUCCGAAACGGGCCACCGAAGUCAGCCCUCGACGUGGCAAACGUCGCAUCCACGAUGCUCUCUGCCCAUGAAAGGGAGGGAAGCAUAUGUUACCUUCGAUUCAAUUAUUUGGGAAUUUAGGUGAGUGAAAGCACGAAGCUGAUGGUGAGGAACAUCUGUUGAAAGAAUAAGUUCAAGGACACGUCUUCCCUGUAACCAUCUGUUACGGCCAUGUGGAUUAAUUACGGAAAUAUUUUGCUUAUGGAGUCAUAGAAAUGUACUCCGCUUGAAAUCGUUUUUGGUUGUUUUUUUUUUUUUACUGCCAGCCGGCGUGUCCAUCCUGUGAUCUUUAUGGGCGAGGCUGUCAGAACACAUCAAAACUUUCAACUGCCAUUAAACGUUCUAUUAAAAAGUCAUCUCUUUGUUGGAAAAACACAGCUUUGCUUCUGUGCAAGUUUACAAGGGCUUGGUGGAGAGCUGUUUUUUGUGUGUGUUUUUUUUAAAUACCUAAGGUUGACUAGAAAUUUCUCCAAAGUCUUCAGUGAAACAAAUAGGGUACAGAUUUCAACUAGUCCCUCAGAACGGCAGAGGGGAGCACACAACGGCCCCUGGCCCAAUCUAUGCACGCCCAGGUUCACAUCAUCAGUGAACGCGUUUUCUCUGCCAAAGGACACCCUCGCGUGUCAAUGAAAACUGUUUUUUAACUUUUUAGUGCAGACUUUUAAGUAUUAACUUUGUCUCUGUUCCCAGUUCAGUGACGGCAUCAUGAUGCGAUAUUAACACCCGUGGUAGCAGCCGAAAGUAAAACACUAAACCCCGAGUAAUGUUUCGGCCAAGAAGGGAUUGUUCAUACAUGCCUUUUUUUUUAACAAGUUUCUAGGAAAAGCACAUCUCUCUUGGUCAUGCGCCUUUCAUUUAAAGUCCAAGAACAUUAGACUAUUUCCUUUCCUGCAAAAGGAAACAAUUCUUUUUUGCAAGAAGGCCGACAUCUAGAAAGGCACAGGGCUACAGCAGGCUUACCAAUGCAGCUUAAGGAAACCCUCCUUACUGACGGGGAGGAAGAAAAGAGAGGAAGGGAGAGAGAUAGAGAGCUAGAAGCAUCGAUGAGAGAGAAACA